rnacentral:lncRNA from 1 species
AAGCAACAACUUUCAUUUUAGAAGAAAAUCCACUGGAUACAAUAUAAGCCUGGCCACGACAAUACUCCAUAUUUAGUCCCCACUUCUCAGAUAUUGUAGUGUGAAAUUUCAUAGCCAAAAUUUCCACAUCAGCUUCAUAAGGCAGGAAGCCCACAAACUCCUCUCUCAGGUUAUGGGAUUCAUCAACAAACCUCACCAGGACAGGUAAGUGCUCUUCCCCUGCUAUGUCCCCCACAUCAUCAGUGAUGAUGGAAAAGAAGUGUGAGUCUCUCACUUCCCUGAGGGUUUCUUCCCUAACACAGCUCUCACAGAUCUCUAGCAUUUCUUUCUGCUGUGUUUUUGAACAGAACAAUGUGUUAACGGCUGUGGUCUCAAAGCGCUUUCUCAGAACCUCUUCACCAGAAUUUAUCUGGCACUCCAACAAAGCUUGGAAGUUAUCAGGUGUAAAGAGACCUUCCGGGAUUUCGUCGGUCUCAUGCCCAUCCAGAGCUCCCACAUACUGCUGGAGCCAGGAAAGGUACUGCUGAUUUAAGAAGAUUCAUCACUUUAAGGAGAUUCAUCACUUUAUAGUGAUGUCUGCAACAACAUACCAGCUGCAUCGUCAUCAGAACACAGGAGCGAUGCUUUGUGAGAACUGGAUUCUCAACCAGGGACUGCAGUUGAUUUUUAUUCCAAAGGCCAGUUUUUGUUUUUCAAAGUCACACUACCUCCAACUCCACAUGUGACACAGACUCCAGAAGCCAGAGGCCUAGAUCCAGUUUGUCUCUUUGAAUUUCAACUUUAAUCCUGUUAGGUUAACAAGAAUUAUUAGAAUGGUAUUGUCUCUAAAAUCUACUUAAAAAUUCAGUUUUAUAGUCUUUUUAUUUCAUGAUCAUUUUGGUAGAUAAGGAUCUAAAUAAUGGAAGCUUUCUUAUUUCAUAGUUCUACCAGUCUGAACUCCAGAUGCUUUUAGGCACAUUGUACCAUAAGGAGUAGAUUGUAUUUCUCCUAGUCUUUUGUUCUCUUUGCAUAUGGGUUUUGUUUGAUAUUUCAGAAGUAUCGUAUAGCUCAGAUUUCACAUUACCCUAAGCAUAUAUUUACACCUUUACCUAAGGUUUUUUCACAAACCUCAUAUUAUAUUAUAUUAUAUUAUAUCUCAUAUUAUAUUUAUAUUCUACAUGUGAGGCUGUGUUUACCAUAUGUUGUAGAUUGUGUUCCUCACAGUUCUUUCUCCAUGCUGCAUGUGAGUAUUUUGGAAUGCAGGAAGGAUCAGAGGGCUUGAGAUUCAUGUCACCCUAAGAACGUUUAGGCCCCUGUGUUCUCCUUCAUUUGACAAGUGUCUCAUAGUUACUUUGACAGUUUUACAUGAUAUCUUCAACUUGGGCAACACCAUGGCAGCACUUAUUUUCUUUCUAGCCAGUUACCUGCCAUUUAUAGUGUUAUUUCCACCCAGGCAUACAUAUCCCAGUUACCAUUUCUCCUACCUGUCUACACCAUGGUUUUUCUUGAGAUCCAAAUGUAAUGUAUCACUGCUAACCCCCUCUUCAACAUUGUCCUCAGUUCUAUCUACCUAAUGGAUGAAAUUGAUCUGUAACCAUUGUCACAAUGGAAUCGGGUGGCUGUCAGUUCUGCAUUAUUAUUAUACUCUGUCCACUGCCUCAACACCCAGAAAGUGUGAAGAAUAUAAGGUCUUUCCAAAAAUGAUUUUUUUGAGUGUUUAGAAAAUAUUUUUGUGCCUUUUGGGAUAGGUUCCUUGCAUCUAUUUUCUGGGUUUCAUUUUUGUUCUACCCAGCACAAGUUGCUACGAGUUGUUAAUAUUUCAUUGUAAGUCAGUGUUGAAAAUGCCCAUUUGUUGUUUAAUUUUGUUUCUUUGAAACAGUAUUCCAAUAAAAUCUGCAAACUGAGAUCAGGUGGUGAUGUCUUUAAUGUCUGCUAUAAUAAGCAGAUUCCUCCACAGUUUCUUUCCUUCUCUGUCCACCUCACCCUGUCCCAAAUUGUCAUUUCUUUUUUUCUUGGCUGCAUUUUCAUGAGUCUGAUAUUUGUCCAUCGUAUUCCUGGGUGUGUUGUCCAGAUGCUUCUAUCCUGUGUCCUUGCUGUCAUUUGGUGGUGGCCCCUGGAGCCCUGACUGGGCAGCAGGAACAGAGUGCAAGCCACCUAUGUAAACACAAACUUUGUAGUAGCCACAUUUUAUAGUCUAAGAAAUGCAGCACAGAACAACAUAAAAAUAAUCUUUCUCACACUUUAUAAAUUAUAGGAAAAUGUAAUGAUAUAAAGGCUAUAGAGGUUUAA